UACAGGGGGUGCAAGCGUUGUUCGGAAUUACUGGGCGUAAAGGGUCUGUAGGUGGCCAACUAAGUCAGACGUGAAAUCCCUCAGCUUAACUGGGGAACUGCGUCUGAUACUGGAUGGCUUGAGUGCAGGAGAGGAAUGCGGAAUUCCAGGUGUAGCGGUGAAAUGCGUAGAUAUCUGGAGGAACACCGGUGGCGAAGGCGGCAUUCUGGACUGUAACUGACACUGAGAGACGAAAGCCAGGGGAGCAAACGGG
rnacentral:rRNA from 1 species